rnacentral:rRNA from 1 species
AUGGAUUACGUUAAUGAUCUGUACAAGUUCUAUAAAGUUGCCGAGAAUGAGCGUCGCCCCCGCGACUACAUUCACUCCCAGGUGCAUCUCAGCUCCAAGAUGCAGGCCAUCCUCGUCGACUGGAUAAUAGAAGUGCAUGACGAGUUUGAUCUCAUGCCGGAGACCCUCUACCUUACGGCGUACAUCAUCGACCGGUAUCUCACGAAGCAGCUCGUGCUUCGGAGGGAGCUUCAGCUGGUAGGCGUGUCAGCCCUGCUGAUUGCUUGCAAGUACGAGGAGGUGAUGUUUCCACAGGUGAGGGAUUUGGUCUGUAUAACAGACAAUGCCUACUCCAGGAAGCAGAUACUGAGGAUGGAGAAAGCCAUUCUCAAUCGGCUUGGAUGGAACCUGACAGUUCCUACACCUUAUGUGUUCCUUGCGCGCUUUGCCAUGGCUGCGUCUUACUUCAAUUUGAAGAACUAUUGGGAGAUGAUGAACAUGGUGUCCUUUUUUGCUGAACUGGCACUGAUGCAAUAUGCGCUGGUGCCGUCCAAGCCCUCCAUGGUUGCUGCUGCUGCUGUCUAUGCAGCCAGGCUCACACUCAAGAAGACCGAUCCAUGGACUCGCACUCUCAAACACUAUACUGGCUUUACUGAAUCACAGCUAAUAUAUAGUGCAAAGAUCCUGGUCACCGCACACUCGACUGCCCCUCAGAGCAAGUUGCAGGUGGUGUAUAAGAAGUAUUCUAGCAAAAAAUUGGGAGGAGUGGCCCUGCGCCCACCUGCAAUCAACUUC